UUGUCCCAUCCAUUGGCUGCUCUUCACAUUAUUAUCUGCCGUCAACUGGUUUAACUACACACAGGUUCAUUGUGACCUGAUGCUAUUCCUUGAUCAUGAGUUUAAUUUAUUGCCGUCGUCUACUAUGUCCUUUCAUCGGUGGUUUCUUGGUGACAUCGUUAUAUUUUUCAAUUUCAAUAACAAGUGUAAUUUCUCUGAUUAAAAAAGCGGAAAUUCCAAAGUUCAAAGGAAGGAUCGAUAGAAACGGUAGAUUCUGCAACCAUUGACAGAUUUUGCUGGUUCAAGGGUUCCAUUAGCCUUGAAACGCAAUCCACAAGCGUUACACAACAAUCGAACUGCUGCACAGAAAAUUGAGAUUGAAAAAUCUCGAUUAUUUUGCUGAUUUGGAAGGAAUGGAAAAAUAUUUGCAUGUUCUUAGGAUCCUAGCAAAUCGAACUGCUGCACAGAAAAUUGAGAUUGAAAAAGCUCGAUUAUAUUGCUGAUUUGGAACGGAUGGAAAUAUAUUUGCAUGUUCACAUCAUUAUUUAUGUAUUAUCUUCACGUGUCUUGAAGAGAUCGUUUGAAUGGCAUAACUCAACAAAGUGUUCGAUCUAUCAGCUGAGAAAGUGUUUAAGUUCCUCAUUGAUUCUACACGAAGAUUUAAGGUUCACUGGCUAGUUCAAAAUG